AACCACACUAUCGAUGAAUGGAUUCACCCACGGGAUAACAUGGCUGUUUCACCUAGGACGAGGACAUGACAUCCUAUUACCAGCCAUCGCACGAAAAAUUAAUAGGAUGCCACGUCCUCAUCCUAGAUGGAACAACCACGUCAUCUCACGGGUGAAUCCAUUCAUCGAUGGUGUGGUU
rfam:Oryza sativa (indica cultivar-group) chromosome 12, whole genome shotgun sequence.